UGCGGAGGAUGCAAGCGUUAUCCGGAAUUAUUGGGCGUAAAGCGUCCGCAGGUGGCACUUCAAGUCUGUCGUCAAAGACCGGGGCUUAACCCUGGAAAGGCGAUGGAAACUGAAAGGCUAGAGAGAGGUAGGGGUAGAGGGAAUUCCCAGUGUAGCGGUGAAAUGCGUAGAGAUCAGGAAGAACAUCGGUGGCGAAGGCGCUCUGCUGGACCAUAACUGACACUCAGGGACGAAAGCUAGGGGAGCGAAUGGG
rnacentral:rRNA from 1 species